UGCCGUGAUGUCGUAAUUUGCGCCUGACUCUGCGCUCAGCGGCAGUUGCCUGCUGCCAGUGUGCUGGUGCAGACAGCUGACGAACCGUUCACGCUGAGCA
rnacentral:snoRNA from 1 species